CGCAGCACUCACUCUCUCAACUCCCUCUCCCUCACGCUCGGCGAACAACACGAACGGCUUCAGAGUUUGUUGAAACCUCUCUCCCUGUGACCCCGCCACCUGACGCGCCGGAGAUCGCCGCACGAGGGGCUCGGAAGUCGCACCGCAGUUGUGGGUUUCAAAGCUUUUUCGGACCUCCACCGUCGUCCAAACUAGAUUCCAAGGGAAUGGUUGUGCUCCAGACACCGAGAGGAUGAAAAGCCACCAAAGAAUCUGGGUAAUUAUGAAAGCUCUUAAAUCUGAAGACGUCAAAUCGUAAGGGUCUUGAGUAUAAAGCUUAGCAACAAAGCAAAGUAGUGUUCAAUUACUUGGUGCAAUGGCCUAUUGUGCUCCUGAGCAAUUGUCCCAGUGUCUCCAUAAGAUUGUACCAAAACUGACAGAGGUCUCUCUUUGUGUUUAUGAAUUUUUUAAUUUAUUAUGUAAAAUAUUUCAUGCUCAUACUUAAUUUUGUUUAUCUUUGUCUUCUUUAAACUCUUAGCAAUGCAGGUUUUAACUAAUGUCCAUCCAAGUUUUUGCUGGUUAUGCAGAAGCAUAGUAAAUAUAUGUGAAACUUGGCUUUUUAUGUGUGUCCAGU